rnacentral:ncRNA from 1 species
UCGAGCUGUAUGCGGCGAAAGUCGCACGUACAGUUCCAAGGGGGCGGCGGCGCAGUAAUGCGUCGCUGCUACCCGAC